UACAGAGGUCCCGAGCGUUGUUCGGAUUCACUGGGCGUAAAGGGUGCGUAGGUGGUGAGGUAAGUCGGAUGUGAAAUCUCCGGGCUCAACCCGGAAAUGGCAUUGGAAACUACCUUGCUGGAGGAUUUGAGGGGGGAUUGGAAUACUUGGUGUAGCAGUGAAAUGCGUAGAUAUCUGGAGGAACACCGGUGGCGAAGGCGGCAUCCUGGACCGGUAUUGACGCUGAGGCGCG
rnacentral:rRNA from 1 species